rnacentral:rRNA from 1 species
UACGAGGGGGGCGAGCGUUGUUCGGAAUUAUUGGGCGUAAAGGGUGCGUAGGCGGCCUGACAAGUCUGAUGUGAAAUCUCCGGGCUCAACUCGGAGUCUGCAUCAGAAACUGCCGUGCUUGAGUGUGGGAGAGGUGAGUGGAAUUCCCGGUGUAGCGGUGAAAUGCGUAGAUAUCGUCUGGAACGCCGAAGGUGAAAACAGCUCGCUGGGGUUGUGCUGACGCUGAGACACGAAAGCCAGGGGAGCGAACGGG